rnacentral:rRNA from 1 species
AUGAACGCUGGCGGCGUGCCUAAUCCAUGCCAGUCGAGCGAACAGACGAGGAGCUUGCUCCUCUGACGUUAGCGGCGGACGGGUGAGUAACACGUGGAUAACCUACCUAUAAGACUGGGAUAACUUCGGGAAACCGGAGCUAAUACCGGAUAAUAUAUUGAACCGCAUGGUUCAAUAGUGAAAGACGGUUUUGCUGUCACUUAUAGAUGGAUCCGCGCCGCAUUAGCUAGUUGGUAAGGUAACGGCUUACCAAGGCGACGAUGCGUAGCCGACCUGAGAGGGUGAUCGGCCACACUGGAACUGAGACACGGUCCAGACUCCUACGGGAGGCAGCAGUAGGGAAUCUUCCGCAAUGGGCGAAAGCCUGACGGAGCAACGCCGCGUGAGUGAUGAAGGUCUUCGGAUCGUAAAACUCUGUUAUAAGGGAAGAACAAAUGUGUAAGUAACUAUGCACGUCUUGACGGUACCUAAUCAGAAAGCCACGGCUAACUACGUG